GAGCAAUGAUGAUUGCAGCGCUCAAGUGAAUAUAUAGGGUUCCUUACAAUCAUCUGAUUUUCAGACGAAAAGAUAGCGUUUCAGAGCUU